UACGUAGGGUGCAAGCGUUGUCCGGAAUUAUUGGGCGUAAAGAGCUUGUAGGCGGUUUGUCGCGUCUGCUGUGAAAUUUCGGGGCUCAACCCCGAACUUGCAGUGGGUACGGGCAGACUAGAGUGUGGUAGGGGAGACUGGAAUUCCUGGUGUAGCGGUGAAAUGCGCAGAUAUCAGGAGGAACACCGGUGGCGAAGGCGGGGUCUCUGGGCCGAUACUGACGCUGAGGAGCGAAAGCGUGGGGGAGCGAACAGG
rnacentral:rRNA from 1 species